AAACCUACGGGGCGCAGCAGUGGGGGAUAUUGGACAAUGGGGGGAACCCUGAUCCAGCGACGCCGCGUGAGUGAAGAAGUAUUUCGGUAUGUAAAGCUCUGUCAGCAGGGAAGAAAGAAAUGACGGUACCUGACCAAGAAGCCCCGGCUAACUACGUGCCAGCAGCCGCGGUAAUACGUAGGGGGCAAGCGUUAUCCGGAUUUACUGGGUGUAAAGGGUGCGUAGGUGGCAGGGCAAGUCAGAUGUGAAAGCCCGGGGCCCAACCCCGGUACUGCAUUUGAAACUGUCAGGCUAGAGUGUCGGAG
rnacentral:rRNA from 1 species